rnacentral:lncRNA from 1 species
CUCCUUUUAGAAUGGCCAAAAUCCACAAUACUGACACCACCAACUGCUGGUGAGGAUGUUGGAACAAUAGGAACAAUCAUUCAUUGCUAGUGGGAAUGCAGACUAGAACAGACACUUUGGAAGACGAUUUGGAAGUUUGUUUUUACAAAUUUAGACUUACUCCUACCAUAUAACUCAGCAAUCAUGCUCCUUAGUAUUUACCCAAGUGAGCUGAAAACUAUGUCCACGUAAAAACUUGCAUAUGAAUAUUUAUAGCAACUUUAUUCAUAAUUGCCAAUACACAGCAAUAUGUCCUUCAGUAGGUUAAUGGAUAAAUAUACUGUGAUACAUCUAGAUAAUGGAAUAGUAUUCAGUGCUAAAAAGAAAUGAGCUAUCAAGCCAUGAAAAGACUACAGGGGUCCUGGAUAGCAAAGUCCAUGGGUGUCUAUGGUGGUGGCUGUGGCUGUUGGGUCUUUAGUGGCAAAAGCUGCUGGGGUGCUCCUGCUCUCUUUUUCUCCCACCCCCUCUUUGGGAGAUGAGGUGAUGCAGGUAAAAUGCUUCCUACAGUUUUCUCUGCAGCUGUCCUCAGUUGUGCUCCACUGGGUUCUGCAGCUUCUUAAUCACACUCUGGAGCUCUCUUAGAGCUAUUUUCAUUUAUGAGUAGUUGUUAAAAUGUUGUUUCUAUGAGGGAUGAGGGUUGGGACCUCCUAAUUUGACAUCACUGCCAAGAGAAACCACUCCUAUUCCUUUUAUUACAGGAGGUACCAGUCAGCAGUAGAAAAAGAAAAUAUCUAAAAGGGAUAUGGAUUGUGGAAAGGAAGGUACAAAACUAUUAUUAUUUGCAGAUAUUGUGAUUGUCUAUAUAGAAAGUACCCCACCCAAAUUACAUAUCAAUUACAAAUAACUAUUUUAAUUGUUAAGAACUAGCAAGUUUGCUUGGCACCAAACCAGUUUGGAAAAAUGAAUUCUGUGUCUCUGCAAUAUCAAUUGGAAGUUAGGAAAUGAAAUGUUAACAAUAAAAAUAACAAUUAAAAUAGUAAUAAAAAUAUAAGGUACCUGGGGAAAAAUCUCUCAAAAGAUAUGUAAGCCUUUUAUGUAGAAAUUAAUAAAACUUAAAUUAGUGGAGGAAGAGAACACGUUCUUGAAUAAGAAAACUCAAAGUAAUAAAAAUUCAUAGAUUUUAAUACUAUUCCAAUAAAAGGAAUUCCCAACAGGGCUUUUCAAGGACCUUGACAAACUAAUUCUAAAAUUUACAUGAAAGAGUAAAGACUCUAAAACAAUCAGUACUGAAGAACUUGCUUUACCAAGUAUCAAAUCUAAUCAUAAAGGUUUGAGGCAGUAUGCAGUUAAUGCAGGAAUAUAGUAAUAGGCCAGUGUAACAAAAUAUAGUGUGCCCCCAAACAGAAAUAUCCAAAUAUGACAGAGAUAUUAUUACAUAACAGAGGUAAAGAGUGGACUCUUCAAUUAUAUAACUGUACUGGGGGGAAAAUGAAAGUAUUGAAGUAUUACUUACAUGUCACUGUACAGGAAAAUCAAUUUCAGUUGGUUAAAUACUAAAAUGUGAAAGGGAAGACUAGAAAUAUUUUAGAAAAACAUGUCAAAAAAUGUCUUUAUGAUCCCAGGAUUUCUUAAUUUAAAAAGUCAUAGUCAUAAAAGAAACUGUGGUGGGAGUUCCUAUUGUGGUGCAGUGGAAAGGAAUCCAACUAGUAUCCAUGAGGAUGUGGGUUUGCUCACUAGGUUAAAGGACCUUGCGUAGCCGUGAGCUGUGGUGUAGGUUGCAGACGUGGCUCAGAUCCCGAGUUGCUNUGUGGCAUAGACUGGCAGCUGUACUUCCAAUUUGAUCCCUAGCCUCGGAAUUUCUAUAUGCUGUGGGUGCGGUCCUAAAAAGCAGGAAAAAAACAAAAACAAAAACAAACAAAAAAAACAGUUGUUAAAUUGGACUGUCUUAAAAUUAAGAAUUCACAAAUCAUCAAAAGACACCAUAAAGUGAAAAUCAUCUCACAAAGUGAGAGAAAAUAUUUCCAAUGCAUAUAACCAGUGAAAUAUUAGUAUCCAGAGUGUAUAAGGACCCUCCUACAAAUUGAUAAAAGACUUCUUAAUAGAAAUAAAAGCAAAAGCAUGAAUGGACAUCUCACAGAAGAUAAACAAUACACUAAAAAUGAAAUUUUAAAACCACAGUCUCAUCAAGGAAAUGCAAAUUAAAACCACAAUAUGAUUUUGCAUCCACUAGAUAGGAAAAAAUGAAAAAGUCUAUGAAGAAUAAUUUUGGAAAAGAUAUGUAACAAUAAGCAUCCACAUCUGUUGGAAGGAGAAAUAUAAGUUGGCUCAGUAACUUUGGCCAAGAGUUUGGCAUUUCUUAACCAAGCUGCACAUGCACAUAAUAUGUAACCAGGAAUUACAUUCCAAGAUGUGUACCCCAGAGAAAUUUUUGCAUUCAUGCUCAAGAGUAAUUUUUAAGAAUGCUCACAGAAGCAUUAUUCAUAAACAAAAAAUGUCCAAACUAUCCAAAUAUUCAUCAACAGUAGAGUUGGCUAAUUUUAAUAUAUUCUUAAGAUGAAUACAAUAAUAAAAAGUUAUUUAGAGCCAGCUGAGUUAAUGUGGAUAAAUCUCAAAAACUAUUAUUUUUUUGAGCAACAGAAGCACAUUAUAGAAUGCAUACAUUAUGAUUCUCUUUAUAAAAAUUUCAAAAAUCAGGCAACUCAUAGCAACAUUUUCUUUGGGGAUAUAUACCUUGGUUACAAACUGUAAGGCAGAGAUCAACAGUUUUAGGAUUAAGGUUACCCUUUGAAGGUGGAAGAGGGAGAAAAUACUACUGGGGAGGGAUAUCAGAAGACCUGUUUAUUUCCUAAACUGGUUAGUGGCAGAUCUUAUUUAUUUUAUUAUUUUUUUAAAAAAAACCUUAAAUUUGUAGGUUUCAUACAUUCUUUUUAAAAAUAAUUUAUGUCACCAUAAAAAAGUUGAAAACAAAAAACCUCAUGUACUUCACCUCCCUCAAGAUUCUGAUAAAAUUUCAACCCUUGAGAGAUGAGCUUCAAUUUGCAAAUCUCUUUGCCUUGCCAAUAGUAGUUUUGAUUAUAUUUUAUUUUCCUUAGCUUAAGAAAAUAAUGGAUAUUUUUUUCUUAAAAUGUAAAAUUAUAGGUAAUAUUAUAUUGAAUAUAUAUUUAAAUUAUAUAUACCUAUCCCUCUCUGUUUAGAUUUUGAUUACUUCUCCAUCCAUCAGCUAUCACUCACCCACCUCCACCUUCAACCUUUGGGAAGUACCAAAUGGUAGCCACAUUUGAAGCCAGGAAUUAAUCAUGGGAAGAAAGUUUUACAAAUAUUAAUUUUCUGAUCUAACAAACCCGUCUGUAUCUCCUUACCCUGUAAACAUUCUAUUUGGCAGUAAUGCUAAGAUAUUUUUCUCCUCUUUCAUUUUCUAAUUAACUUGCAAUGUGUUUUCCCUAAAUUCACAAUGAGUUUGGAAUAAAAGUAAUUUGCUUCACCAGGUGGUAUUUCUCACAUUCCAGAUGUUAAUAUAGGUCUUAACCCAUGGUCAGCUUUAAGGGUAACAACAGCACAGUAGUAUUUAUGGCAUCUACCAAAUGAGUUACAGAAUAUAGUUGUUAAAGUAUUAUUAUAGAUAGAGUGACCACGUAAUUAAUUAGCCAGACACUUUUGGGAAUGAAAGGGGGCACUAUUAAUAAUUAUUCUGGGACACAGGAAUAAAUGGGAACAGUUCUAGGCAAAAGGAGAUAUGCGGUCAUCCUGGUUAUAGAAGAAUCUAGCUCAACAAGGACCCAACUGAAGACACAUCUGGCAUGGUGUAAGUUUUCUUUCAACUGUUAAAACCUUGUAAACAGAAAUGGUCUUGUUUUAAUGUGGUUUAUCGUAGUUGUAGUCCUUAACCAGCACUCCUGACAGAUGUGUUUACUAGACCUCAUUGACACCAACAAUUGGGGUGCCUGCUUACUGAGAGGAGGUUUUACUAGCAAUCCAUGCAAAGUAAGUGUCCAACUAACUAGUCUAUGAGGGAAAAAUGACUUUGUAUUUUUUGUCAUUUUUAAAAGUUUGAUUAUCAUCUGAAGCAGCACAAAAUAUAGUAGCAGGGGUCCUCUUCUAUGUGGGCUUAAAAUCUAGACAGAUGGUUUAGGUGUAAGACAAGAAGAAUGAAAAUUCUUUCUGGAGUUGAGAAAGGUUUAUAAAUAAUAAUAAAGUAAUGAGAAUGAGCCUCUAUAGAGUUCCACUGCUGUGCUAGGCACUGAAUUGUAUUCACACUAUAGCACUUAAUCUUCUUAAGAGCCAUAUUAAGAAGUGAUUAUUUCUAUUAUCCAAAUGAGGAAACUUUUAAGGAUUCACACAGGAUUACAUAAGUGGCAGAAUUAACGGUAGAAAUUCAGGUCUAUCUGACUCUAAAGCCUGUGUUUUAUCUAUAAUGCCUAGUGACUUUCUGGAUUUUUUUUCAUUUUAUUAUUUACAUUGGCACUGUACCACUACUGAUACAGAGGUCAGGCUCCAUUUUUACAUUCAUAAGGUGGCUCCUCAGUUUCCACUACACAACUACUAUUGGAAUUUCUAAAUUGAUUUUAGAAAGCAUCUUCCUAUGAUUUGGGAUGGUGUUUAUAUCUGUUAUCAAUGGCCCCUAAUAAGUCAAGUGAGGAGAGAAAGGGAAGAUAUUUUUUUAAAAAAUAGACCUUUUAGAGAAAAAUGCAAUGUAUGGACUAGAAAUACAAUGGUAGGCUUAAUUGAAAAUUGACACUGCAAAAGAAAAGAUUAAUGAACUUGAAGAUCUAGCAAUAGAUACUCUUCAAACCAAAGCUCAGAGAGAAAGAAGUCUGAAAAUUAAAUAAAGAGAGCCUUCAUGACCUGUGUGAAAAUGUCAGGGGCUUAAAAUACAUGUAUAAUUUGAGCCCCUUAAAGAAGUUGUUGGUUGGAGGGUGGGGAGUGAGAAAAAAAUUUUGAAGAAACAGGGGGUUCCCGUCGUGGCUCAAUGGUUAACGAAUCCAACUAGGAACCAUGAGGUUGUGGGUUUGGUCCCUGCCCUUGUUCAGUGGGUUAAGGAUCCGGCAUUGUGUGAGCUGUGGUGUAGGUUGCAGAUGCAGCUUGGAUUCCGCGUUGCUGUGGCUCUGGCAUAGGCCAGUGGCUAUAGCUCCAAUUAGACCCCUAGCCUGGGAACCUCCAUAUGCUGCAGGAGCAGCCCAAGAAAUGGCAAAAAGACAAAAAAAAAAAUUUUUUUUGAAGAAACAAUUUUGAUGAAAACUGUAAGCUUAAAUAUAAGUUUACAAAUAUAGGAAGCCCGAUGAAUAUCAAGAAGAAUAUAUAGAAGAUCAUACCAAGUCAACCAAUUUGCUGAAAACCAGUGAUAAAGAGGAAAUCUUAAAAGCAGCCAGUGAAAAAGACAUUUCAUAUGUAGAAACAAAGAUAAGAGAAUAGAUGACUUCUCACUAGAAGCAAUAUAAGCCAGAAGACAACUGAAUAUCACCUUUAAUGUGUUGAAAGAAAAAACGUAUCAACUGAGAUUCUAUAUAUAGUGAAAGUAUCCCUCAAAAACAAAAUUAAGAUAAAAACAUUUUCAGACCAACAAACUUAGAGAGUUCAAACAGCAGACUAGCAUUACAAUAAAUAUUUUAAAAAGUUCUUUAGGCUGAAGGAAAAUGAUUCCAGAUAAAAAAUCAGAUCUACACAAUGGAAUAAAGAGUGCCAGAAAUAGUAAACAUGCACAUAAAUAUAUAAAACUUUUUCUUCAUUUUUUCGUAUAAAAUAAAAUUGGAUGUUUUUGGCAAAAAAUAAUAACAUAUUUUGUUAUUUAUUACAUAUGCAGAAAUAAAGUAUACAAUAUAUGCCAAGAAUAGAAAGAGAAUUGAAGGUGUACUGUUGAAAACUUCUUACAGUAAUCACAAAGUGAUAUAUUUGAAGGUAGGCUGUGAUAUGUUUAAGAUCUACACUAUAACCCCAAAGCAAGCAUUGAAAAAAAAUAGAUAUUGAAGGCAACAUGGGACAUAGAAUACUAAGCAGUACUCAACCAAGCC